GCGAGGAAUCCUGUUAAGCCAGAAUCUUUGAAAGAGGAGGCAUGACCUGGCAUCAGUGACUUAAUGUGUGAAACAGGAUUUGAAGUGUUUGUAGAGUGCCUUUGGCUAGCCCUUCAGACUGAAAGAUCUUUGAGGGCAAAGGAUUUUGCAUCUCUGGUAGCAAGUAGUGGGCCUGACACUUCAGAGAACUUGUAAAUGAUGGAUGUGUGGAUGGAAGCGGUGUCUUGGGAGUGCUGGGUCGCAGGUUCAAUCCCUGGCCGGGCACAGUGAGUUAAAGAUCCCCAGUCAGUGUUGCCCCAGAUGCAGCUUAGGUUGCGACUGUGGCUUGGAUCUGAUCCCUGGCCUGGGAAUUCCAUAUAGCAUGAGGCAGCCAAAGAUGAAAAAAAAAAAAAAAGUAUCUCUUACAAUUAUAUCAGAAAUGGAGCAUCGUGGGAGUUCCUGUUGUGGCUUAGCGGUUAACAAACCUGACUAAUAUCCAUAAGGGCAUGGGUUCUAUUCCUGGCCUCGCUCAGAGGGUUAAGGAUCUAGUGUUGCCAUGAGCUGUGGUGUAGGUCGCAGGUGCAGCUCAGAUCCCCACGCUGUUAUGGCUGUGGCGUAGGAUGGUGGCUACAGCUCUGAUUAGACCCUUAGCCUGGCAACCUCCAUAUGCCACAAAAAAGAAAAAGAAAUGGAGCAUUGUGAAAAUAGCAUAGGCUCUGAAGUCACACAAACCUAGAUUUGAAUUCCUCACUCUCUGGAUUCUUGUGCAAAUGACUUAAGUCUCAGUUUCCUCAUCUAUAAAGUUGGGCAAUGUUCGGGUGGCACCUUGAGGGGGAAUGGCCAAUUAAACCAUUUCCCAAGAGGAUCCAUGGGUGGCUUUCAUUAUUUUGAUCAUUUAUUAUAGAUGGGGACCUAGCUCUCUGUUUAACAGAAUAAAAAACUUCAUAUGCAUGUGGAGAGGGAAGCCAUUUUCCAGAUAGAGGCCCACAUUAACCAAAUUAGAGAGGCAGAGAAAAAUCAAUGUCAAUAUAUUGUCUUACCAUGAGAAAAUAUUUGGCGUAGUCACAUAACUAGCACAUUGUCUUCCUGUAAGCAGCUAUACAAGGGAAGUAAAAUAAUAACUAGAGGAUUGCUGGUGCUCAGGUAAGGGGACUUGGGCUGCCUCCAGCAUAUAGGGAUGGACCAGCCAUUGGGGAAAUUCUAGAACAUUCUUGGAUGGUCACAGACAAGGUCUCCUAGGAUGAGUUUGUACAUCUUUGCUUUGUUCCAUUACGUACUGACAUCUUGGAGGAUAGCCUUUCCUCCCUGGCUGUGUCUUGGGAAAAAGCUCUAGCCCCUAAAAUAUCAAUGACAGAGAGGCACGCCUUUCCCAUCCGUGCAGCCUCUGUUAGCUGUGAGGGUCUCCCUGGCCCUCAAAAUCUGGGUCAAAUGGCUUAACUCCCCGAGUCCACAGCCUGUGUCAGACUCGAGUCCGUCUUAGAGAUCAGCAAGUCCUUGGGAGACACUGGCGUUCCUGUGGUCCCCUCUCCUCCUGUUUCCUCACAAUCUCUGCCCAGCACUAUGUCAAUCCAGACAUGAAUCACAGCUGCUUCCCCAGCCUCCACCAACAGGAAAACCAAAAAAUCCCGCUCACACAAAACAUUCAUGCAGAGACUCUUCCAAAGAACCGAGGCAGCAGGAAAGCUUCCUAUACCCACAGGAGACAGCAAGCAGCUGAAAGCCCUAUAAGACCUUGCUAUUAAGUUCCUCCGAGCACCCGGACAUGGGGGUUCCCAUUCUCAUCAAGAGCCCUGAGUCUCACUUCCCCCACCUCUUGUCUUCCUCCUCCCCCUCCUCUGAGCUCCCUCCCUCCCCCCCCUUUCUGGGCACCAGGCAAGUUCCUCUUGACCUCAGGCACAGGGCUUCCACCCCCGUCUCUGGAGCCACCUCCACAGCUGAAAUCCAGGCUCGGGGAUGUCACCUUCAAACUUUCCAGACAAAGACUAUUCCUUUUUUUUGGCUUUUGUCCUUUUUAGGGCCACACCUGCAGCACAUGGAGGUUCUCAGGCUAGGGGUCCCAUUGGAGCUGUAGCCACCAGCCUACGCCAGAGCCACAGCAACACGGGAUCCGAGCCGCGUCUGUAACCUACACCACAGCUCACGGCAACGCUAGAUCCUUAACCCACUGAGCAAGGCCAGGGAUCAAACCACAACCUUGUGGUUCCUAGUAGGAUUCAUUUCCGUGUGCCACGACAGGAACUCCCAGACAAAGACUAUUCCUUUCUAAAAUGAAUUUGGGGACCAUCUGUUAAGAAAAUAGAAGUAUUUCCUCUUUGAAGGGAACUAAGUGAAGGGUCUGGGACGUAUAUUCAAUAAGUCAACUUCCAUCCGCUCUUACUCCUCUCCCCUUAUGUAACGCCUGUUGAUCAACAGUAAUUUCAUCAUGAUGAACGUGCUUUUGCUCCUCACCACAUUCCUAUGUCAGCUGAGAAGACACCGGCAAAUAUAAUUCCUGUAUUUACCUGUAUUUUCUCCAUAGAGCAGUGCUACAUGCUGGCUCCCCAACUUACUAGCUGUGUGCUCUUGUGCAAAUCACUCAGCCUCUCUGGCCUCAGUUUCUCCACCCAUAAAAGGAGGUGAUAGACUAGUGUGAUGACUUCUCAGGAGGAUUAAAUUCAUUCCUAUAAAGUGCUCAGUGGAUAGCAAAGGCUCAGUAAAUGUUGCUGCUCCUUUUUUUUUUAAAUGUCCCUUUCUCCUCAAAUAGUGUGACUUGAUCAGU
rnacentral:lncRNA from 1 species